rnacentral:tRNA from 3 species
GCGGAUGUAGCCAAGUGGAUCAAGGCAGUGGAUUGUGAAUCCACCAUGCA